rnacentral:rRNA from 1 species
UACGAAGGGGGCUAGCGUUGCUCGGAAUGACUGGGCGUAAAGGGCGCGUAGGCGGUUUGUACAGUCAGAUGUGAAAUUCCUGGGCUCAACCUGGGGGCUGCAUUUGAUACGUGCGGACUUGAGUGAGGAAGAGGGUCGUGGAAUUCCCAGUGUAGAGGUGAAAUUCGCAGAUAUCGGGAGGAACACCAAUGGCGAAGGCAGCUCGCUGGGACGUUACUGACGCUGAGACGCGAAAGCGUGGGGAGCAAACAGG